rnacentral:tRNA from 1 species
GCUUGGGGCUCAGUGGUAGAGUGCUUGCCUAGCAUGUGUGAGGCACUGGGUUCAAUCCCCAGCACCACACA